UACGUAGGAUCCAAGCGUUGUCCGGAUUUACUGGGUGUAAAGGGUGCGUAGGCGGGUCUUUAAGUCAGGGGUGAAAUCCUGGAGCUCAACUCCAGAACUGCCUUUGAUACUGAGGAUCUUGAGUUCGGGAGAGGUGAGUGGAACUGCGAGUGUAGAGGUGAAAUUCGUAGAUAUUCGCAAGAACACCAGUGGCGAAGGCGGCUCACUGGCCCGAUACUGACGCUGAGGCACGAAAGCGUGGGGAGCAAACAGG
rnacentral:rRNA from 1 species